UUGCACAUGGGAAUUCUGGGGCUUGGGCAGGGGUGGGGCCAGGAGAGCCACUAUUAUGUGGAUCCUACAGUCCCUGCCUCCCCACACUGAGGCCAAGGAGCCCAAUGUAGCCCAUAGGUUCAAGUAGGUUCCAUGGAGCUCUCCUCUUGCUUCCAGAUGGCUCGAUGGCAGAAUUCUUCUCCCACUUAAUUCUAGUGCUCAGCUCAGAAGGGAUUUGUGUCCUGUGUACACCAUUUAGACACACAAAUCCUGGUGUUUGAAAUUCCCUCCCGCUCUGUAUCACACAGAGGAGUGCUGGUAAGAGACUGCUUUUCAUUUCCUGGCUCCACUUACCUAAUGCAGGACAGGGUUGCAAAAAGUUAAUAGUGAUGGCAAGUGUCAGUGUCUAUCUAUCCCAUUGGCUACUGUUAUAUCCUCCAACCAAAACUGAACAAGCAUAAACUAGUAGAACCAGAUAACGAAACAUCCUCCAGUGGCUGUUUUGUGUGGAGCAAGGCAGGAGCCGAACUCAUUCCCUCAAUAAGUGGUUUAGGCACCUAAGCUGCAUGAGUCCAGGUGAAAGGUUUCCAUUAGUGGAUCACUAAGGUGACACAGGCAUAUGCCUAUAGUCUGGAUUUAGGCACCUAUCUCAGAGAGAGGAGUGGAGUUUAGCACUUACCCCUGUUGUCAGCAUCUCCCAUUGGCUAGUUUAGCCAGGGAGCUGCCUAGCUUUUGUGGAUCCCAUUCUAAGGCACCUGUCUCUUCCCAGUCAUUGUAUAGGGAAAUUAUGUGCCUAACUCAGGCUUUGUGGAUUGCAGGAUUAUUCGAGAGAUUUUCUAGGUGCUUAAAAGGUAGGUGCCAUGAUGCUGAGCCUUGCAACAUCUAAGUGCCUUUGUGGCUCUUGUGCCUAAAUACCUUGGGAAGCCUGGAAACCUCAGAAACUGCAUAUUCACUAUACACCUUCUUGUGGGGAGGAUCUUACCCCUGUCAUGUGACUGGCCAACUCAUUGGGCUGGUGAAUAGAGACAAAGAGAGUCCUGGCUCCACGUACUUACCAACCAUUACUAUUUGUAGAGUCUUGUGUUCCUAAGGGAAGCGGGAGGGAGGGAGCAGCCUCUGAGUGGCACCAAUUCUGCCUGAUUAUAUGCAUGUUUGGCAAAGGGUAGGAAGGCUCCUUCUUUCUUUCACCGCUGUGCACCCAAGUAAUGGCUCUGCAGAAUGUGACCCAAUAGGAGCAGCCAAACAUUCACAAGCAGGUCAAAAGCAACAAACAAGGGUGCUGCAGUAACACUGAGGAAAUAUCAACAAGGGCACAGAUUGAACUUCUCAGAAGAGGUAACUAUUAUCAGUGAGGGUGAGGAAAAAGAAUUUUAAAAAUCCUCCAAAAUAUUCCUAAAACAAACCUGAAAGGAAGAUGAUACAUUAAAAAUAAAACGAAAUCAUUCAUAGAACAAUGUAUGAUAUAUGGUAUCUAGAGUUAUUUUAAUCUAUUACAAUUAUUGCACACUAACUUUUAUAAUACCUUAUUUUCUUUCUUCCGUGGUGUAUUGGAGAGGAAGUUGAGAUGUAGACCAGAUGAUCAUGCUAUGGCCUUGCCUGGAACAAUGGUGCUGGGGCCUAUAGGUGCUACUGCAAGGGCUGUAAACCAGGGGAUCUCAAGGCAACCAAGGCCUUGCCUCGAGCGAAUCCAAAACAAACCAAAGGGCUGAGAAGAACAGACCAGGAGAGGAGAAGCCAUCUAUAAAAUUGAAAGUUGAGUACAGUGUUUGUUCAUGGCAGCAACAGUGGACAGUGAAAGAAAAACAUGAAAGGGAUACAAAUUAUGUUAACACAUGAGUCAUCAGUAAAAGGAACCUCCACAUAUUAAAGAAAUCAAGGAAAUCUCUUCAAAAAAGGGGGAGGGUAACCAAAACCUCCAAAAGCCUUUAGAAUGACACAUUGGUCAUUACAUCUUCGUUUUCAAAAAAGGAGUCAUUUGAGAGAGAAUUCUUCAGAUUCCAGAGGGACAAGACACUAUCAGAUGUGACUAUCAGGAAUGUAACAAAAAUACCAGAGCCUUUGCAGAGAUAUAUUUUGGGAUUCAGAGGCAGCAAGAAAAAGAACUCAAUAAGUAGAGUUUAUCACAGAUUAGAAGAACUUCACUGGCGGAAGGAACUGUGGAGCAAGAGAGCAAUAUAAAGUGGAACAAAAGCUGAUGAAUCACUGUCAUUUGUAUUGGUAAAAAAAGCAAUAGAAGAUCCCUCAAUGUCAGCAUUAGAUAUGAAACAUGUUCUUUGCUAUAUUAAAUUGCAUUUUGUUGAAACAGCCAAGAUCAUCAAUGAAAAUGUUGACUAUUGUCAGGCAGAGUGCUGAACCCGUCCAGGAACACCCCCAUUCAAUGAUGAGUCUCCAUGCACAACGACUCUUUGAAAUCUGUCAGAUAGGCAGUUCUUAAUUCAUUUAAUGUGUGCUUUAUUGAUACAGUACAGUGUUAAUUUUUAAUUAGAAUGCUCUACAGUACUCAUCAAAUACCUUAAAAAAGUCUAAGUAUGUUACUUCUGCACUGUUACCUUUAUCAACCAAACUUGUAAUCUCUUCAAAGAAUGAAAUCAGGUUUGUAUUAGAAGACAUACCUUCCAUAAAACUAUGUUGAAUGUCUCUUAAUUCUUUAUCAACUGAAUCAUGUAUCAAUUUUUGCAUUAUUUCACCUGGAAUUGAGAUCAGGCUAACCAACUUAUAGUUACCCAGGUCAUCCCACUUGCUCUUUUUAAAUAUUGACACAAAACUAGCACUUUUCUAUUCUUCUGGAAUUUUCCAAGUAUUCAAAAAUGUAUUAAAUAUUGAUAUCAGUGGGCCAGAGAUCUCCUCAGCCAGCUCUUUUAGGGCUCUUGGAUUGAAGUUAUCCAGGCCUGCUGAGUUGAAAAUGUUUAUCUCUAGUAUAUGUCACUCUACUCACAUCUUCCUUAGUUACUAAUGAACUAUAAAGUACUUCAGCAUCCUCACGUGAUAUGCUAUUUUAUAUCACGCUCAUCACUGUAGCAUCUGAGCAC